CUGCAGAUAACUGGAAACAAGCUUCGAAAACAAACUGAAAACUACAAAAUUAAAUAACUGGAAAACUAGCUCAACAUAAAUGAAAAUUACAGUAACUGCUAAAACGAAGAAGCAAAUAACUCUAAAAUUAAUUCUAAAACUAAAAAGUCUACGCGUAAACCUCUGUCUACACGUAAGUCAACAUGGGCCGAACCCUCCCUGAAAGUAAACGGCCUCGGCGAUCUGGGACCAGCGCAGCACCAGGCACUGGCACGGACUCCAGUAGAGACCCCGCGCACACGCGGGUGCACGAAGUUGGCUCGGAUUCCUGCCGGGCCCCGCGGGCGUCAGUAUCGAGUCCAGCGCUUGCGCAGGCGCGCGUGUGGAGCAGACCCGAGAUUCGCGGGCGUCUGCAGCGAGUCCCGGCGCCCGCGCAGGCGCGUGUGAAUGAGCACCGAGGUUCGCGGGUGUCUGCACGGUGCCCCGCAGCUCGCGCAGGCGCCUGAACAGCCCGAAGGCUACUGCACCGAGUCCCGGCGCUCGCGCAGGCGCGUGUGGGGCAGCCCGGAGGUUCGCGGGCGUCUGAGCCGAGUCCCCAGGGCUAACGCUGAAGCGUGUGGAGCAGCUCCCAGGGCCACCUGGGCCAUUCCCUGCAUCCAGGAAGGAUCUGGCGGAGCCUGGAAGGAGAAAGGAUCUUCCCAGCGCUUCAGGACCCGGGUAGCACCUCCCUGCUGGGGACUGACUGUCCAUGUGGCCUUCUUACUGGCAAUUCCACAGAUGGCGGAUCGGAACCACUCUGGAUCCUGCCAAUGCCCUGGCAGCUCUUUCUGCACCGAUUUUAAAUGGCCAAACUCUAUUUUUGUUUUGUUCCUUCCAGAUUUUGCUCUCAUCCCAAUCGAAAGAAACAUAAACUUUGUGAACAUUUUAGGACACUCUGUGGCAUACAAACAGAGUUAUUUUAACUGGGGAGCUGGAGCUGCCUUAAAAAAGCUUCUUGUUCCUUGCCUGAAGGCCUGA
rnacentral:lncRNA from 1 species